UGUUGCUGGAGGCUUAGUUCUGUCUAGCAUGUCGCUCUUCCUUUCUUUCUGUUGCCUUUUGUAUAAUGGAUGUGACUGCUGUCAUCUGAAUUGUUUACUGCAUGAAAGAUAUAUUCUUCUUUGUGCUCCAGUCUCCAGAGCCAUCCCCAGCCGAGUGCAAGGUGAUGUACUUUUUGUCCAGUGCACGUCAUGGUGAGGGAUGAGGCAUGAGUCACUUCCCCUGUGGGCAGCGAUGACUGACUGCCUCUGCUGCCUGUGGAGCUGCCACACCAGGGCUGGGCACACGAGGAGUCACCGCCUCCAAUCAGCUCUCUGAUGACGACACGAUGUAAAAGCAGUUUAUUAAGCUGCAAGAUGAAAGACUUUUACAGCUCAUUAAGGAGGAAAGCUCAUAAGAAGUUUCUUCUUUGUAAGUCACUGGCACAGCAAGGAAUCAGAGGAACACAUUAUGGAUGUAGCGACACGCCUUUAGCUGCACAGUGCCCUAAAACUGAGCGCAUAGCAAGGGUUCAUCUCCCUGAAUUCUGUAACUCAAAGACAAGGUUCUAAUUCCAGGACACUGCUGCAUGCAGUUGAAUCAAUGGUGGUCACAGCAGAUUCCUGACACUGUGAGAAAGGAUUCUGCUCUUCUGCUGCUGCAUGGUCUUCAUACGGACCUCCAAACUGAGCUGAACUUCUGCAAAGCAAGAAAGGACAAUAUUUUAUUUAAAAAUAAACAAAGCAGCAUUGAUGGUUGGACUGAAACCCAGUGGAGAGAGAUUAAUGUGGAACAGAUGGAUGUGCAGCUCAGAAGGUUUGCCAAGGCAGGUUCCACAGCCAUCUAUUUCUGCAAUUUGUCUGUCUCAGUGCCACCCCUUCCUCACUCUUCCCACCCACUUGGAUGUUUGAGUGGGUUUAUUAUUCAUGUCCAAGCUGAAUGUUCUGGAUCAUGCUUUGCUUUGGGGGCUUUCCUUUAA
rnacentral:lncRNA from 1 species